rnacentral:rRNA from 1 species
AAAUUUGAAAUCUGGUGGCCUCAGGUCAUCCGAGUUGUAAUCUAUAGAAGUGUUUUCCGUGCUGGCUCAUGUACAAGUCCCUUGGAACAGGGCGUCAUAGAGGGUGAGAAUCCCGUCCUUGACAUGAACUACCAGUGCUCUGUGAUACAUUUUCAACGAGUCGAGUUGUUUGGGAAUGCAGCUCAAAAUGGGUGGUAAAUUCCAUCUAAAGCUAAAUAUUGGCGAGAGACCGAUAGCGAACAAGUACCGUGAGGGAAAGAUGAAAAGCACUUUGGAAAGAGAGUUAAACAGUAUGUGAAAUUGUUGAAAGGGAAACGAUUGAAGUCAGUCGUGCUCUUUGGAUUCAGCCGGUUCUGCCGGUGUACUUCCUUUGAGUGGGGUCAACAUCAGUUUUGAUCGCUGGAUAAAGGCAGGAGGAACGUAGUACCCUCGGGUAAACUUAUAGCCUCUUGUCACAUACAGUGGUUGGGACUGAGGAACGCAGCACGCCUUUAUGGCCGGGAUUCGUCCACGUACGUGCUUAGGAUGUUGACAUAAUGGCUUUAAACGACCCGUCUUG